UACGGAGGAUCCGAGCGUUAUCCGGAAUCAUUGGGUUUAAAGGGUCCGUAGGUGGACCAUUAAGUCAGGGGUGAAAGUCUGCGGCUCAACCGUAGAACUGCCCUUGAUACUGGUGGUCUUGAGUCGUUGUGAAGUGGUUGGAAUAUGUGGUGUAGCGGUGAAAUGCAUAGAUAUCACAUAGAACACCGAUUGCGAAGGCAGAUCACUAACAACGUACUGACACUGAUGGACGAAAGCGUGGGGAGCGAACAGG
rnacentral:rRNA from 1 species